rnacentral:rRNA from 1 species
UCGAACGAAUCCCGGGUAGCAAUACUCGGGGGAAGUGGCGAAAGGGGCAGUAAUGUGUGGAUAACCUACCCUGGGGAUGGGCAUAGCCGUUCUAACGAACGGGUAAUACCCAGAGAUUCGGCGAGGUGGCAUCAUCUUGCCGGGAAAUGAAUUUCGCUUCGGGAGGGGUCCAUAUCGUAUUACCUAGUUGGCGGGGUAACGGCCCACCAAGGGGAAGAUGCGUAGCGGGUGUGAGAGCACGACCCGCGCCACUGGCACUGUGACACUGGCCAGACACCUACGGGUGGCUGCAGUCGAGGAUCUUCGUCAAUGGGCGAAAGCCUGAACGAGCGAUGCCGCGUGUGCGAUGAAGGCCUUCGGGUUGUAAAGCACAAAGGUGGGGAUAAAAGCCGAAAGGUUUGAUUGAUCCACAGUAAGCACGGGCUAAGUUCGUGCCAGCAGCCGCGGUAAGACGAACCGUGCGAACGUUGUUCGGAAUCACUGGGCUUAAAGGGCGCGUAGGCGGGCGAUCAAGUCGGUGGUGAAAUCCUACAGCUCAACUGUAGAACUGCCUCCGAUACUGGUUGUCUCGAGGAAGGUAGGGGCGUGUGGAACUGUCGGUGGAGCGGUGAAAUGCAUUGAUAUCGACAGGAACUCCGGUGGCGAAGGCGACACGCUGGACCUUAUCUGACGCUGAGGCGCGAAAGCCAGGGGAGCAAAC